GACGAACGCUGGCGGCGCGCUUAACACAUGCAAGUCGAACGGAAAGGCCUGCUUUCCCUUGUGGAUUGGGGGUACUCGAGUGGCGAACGGGUGAGUAACACGUGAGUGAUCUGCCCCCAACUUGGGUAUAAGCCUGGGAAACUGGGUCUAAUUCCCGAUAGGACUGCAGGGUGGUGCCUGUGGUGGAAAACGAUUUUCUAGUGGUUGGGGAUGAGCUCGCGGCCUAUCAGCUUGUUGGUGGGGUAAUGGCCUACCAAGGCGGCGACGGGUAGCCGGCCUGAGAGGGUGGACGGCCACAUUGGGACUGAGAUACGGCCCAGACUCCUACGGGAGGCAGCAGUGGGGAAUAUUGCACAAUGGGCGGAAGCCUGAUGCAGCGACGCCGCGUGGGGGAUGACGGCCUUCGGGUUGUAAACUCCUUUCGACCGCGAGGAAGCCACCUGGUUGGAAGGGUGGUGACGGUAGUGGUAGAAGAAGCACCGGCUAACUACGUG
rnacentral:rRNA from 1 species